UACGGGGGGAGCAAGCGUUGUUCGGAUUUACUGGGCGUAAAGCGCACGUAGGCGGAUCGUUAAGUCAGGGGUGAAAUCCUGGAGCUCAACUCCAGAACUGCCUUUGAUACUGGCGAUCUUGAGUCCGGAAGAGGUGAGUGGAACUCCUAGUGUAGAGGUGGAAUUCGUAGAUAUUCGCAAGAACACCAGUGGCGAAGGCGGCUCACUGGCCCGAUACUGACGCUGAGGCACGAAAGCGUGGGGAGCAAACAGG
rnacentral:rRNA from 1 species